rnacentral:lncRNA from 11 species
UCAAAGUGAGAUUGAGAGACUUUCAGGUGAAAUAUCCAAUUAUUUGAAUGUCACCAAUUUCUGGUAUGAAGAGUCUGAACUUCUGAACCAAGAUAAAAUAACACCACGUGAACAAAGAAAACAUGCCAGCACUCAGACAGAUGGUGCAUUUGGAAUGGAAAAGAGGUAAGGUCAAGCUCACAGUCUUAAUUCAUUUUGAAAUUGCUUUGAUGUGAGAAAUUCAGAGACAUACCUG